GAAGGUAUAGCUCAGUGGUAGAGCAUAUUCUUAGCACACACGAGGUCCUGGGUUUGAUCCCCAGUACCGCCA
rnacentral:tRNA from 1 species